UACGUAGGGUCCGAGCGUUGUCCGGAAUCACUGGGCGUAAAGCGCUCGUAGGCGGUUUGUCGCGUUGUUCGUGAAAACUCACAGCUCAACUGUGGGCGUGCGGGCGAUACGGGCAGACUAGAGUACUGCAGGGGAGACUGGAAUUCCUGGUGUAGCGGUGAAAUGCGCAGAUAUCAGGAGGAACACCGGUGGCGAAGGCGGGUCGCUGGGCAGUAGCUGACGCUGAGGAGCGAAAGCGUGGGGAGCAAACAGG
rnacentral:rRNA from 1 species